AUGGUGGCGCCCAUGGUGAUCGCGUCGGCGGGGCUCGGGAUGCUGGCGGGCGUGGCGAUGGCGAACCGGACGACCGGGGACGGGCUGCCUGCGGCGUCCAGGUGGGACGCGCGGCCACGCUGCUCCACGUGCAGCGGCACCGGCCGGGAGGAGUGCCUCUGCAGCCGUUGGUCCGACGGCGACGUCGGCUGCGGGACGUGCUCCGGCUCCGGCCGCAAGCGGUGCCGCAGCUGCGGAGGCUCUGGCACCGGCCGGCAGCUCCCGGUGCGGCUCAUCGCCCAGCAGCAGAAGCUGCCGACGAUCGCGCCCGGGCGACGCGGAAACUGA
rnacentral:rRNA from 1 species